rnacentral:rRNA from 1 species
UACGAAGGGUGCAAGCGUUAAUCGGAAUUACUGGGCGUAAAGCGUGCGCAGGCGGUUUGUUAAGAGAGAUGUGAAAUCCCCGGGCUUAACCUGGGAACUGCGUUUCUAACUGGCAAGCUAGAGUGUGGCAGAGGGGGGUGGAAUUCCACGUGUGGCAGUGAAAUGCGUAGAUAUGUGGAGGAACACCGAUGGCGAAGGCAGCCCCUCGGGCGUAACACUGACGCUCAUGCACGAAAGCGU